ensembl:ncRNA F45E1.10 ncRNA
UUGGGAUGAUGGAGAGAGCUAGCUGUAAAAACAAAAACAUUGUUGCUUGAAAAAAAGAGAGCAAACGGCAAGUAUACCAAAAAGGAAAGAUAGACAAAAGGAGUAAAAAGUGGGGGUUGAACUUGUGUGUCAAG